rnacentral:rRNA from 1 species
UGAGGAAUAUUGGUCAAUGGGCGAGAGCCUGAACCAGCCAAGUAGCGUGCAGGAUGACGGCCCUAUGGGUUGUAAACUGCUUUUAUGUGGGGAUAAAGUGAGCUACGUGUAGUUUAUUGCAGGUACCACAUGAAUAAGGACCGGCUAAUUCCGUGCCAGCAGCCGCGGUAAUACGGAAGGUCCAGGCGUUAUCCGGAUUUAUUGGGUUUAAAGGGAGCGUAGGCCGUGGAUUAAGCGUGUUGUGAAAUGUAGACGCUCAACGUCUGAAUUGCAGCGCGAACUGGUUCACUUGAGUAUGCACAACGUAGGCGGAAUUCGUCGUGUAGCGGUGAAAUGCUUAGAUAUGACGAAGAACUCCGAUUGCGAAGGCAGCUUACGGGAGCACAACUGACGCUGAAGCUCGAAGGUGCGGGUAUCAAACAGGAUUAGAUACCCUGGUAGUCCGCACAGUAAACGAUGGAUGCCCGUUGUUAGUUCACUUAAGAAUUAGCGACCAAGCGAAAGCAUUAAGCAUCCCACCUGGGGAGUACGCCGGCNCGGUG